UUUGGCACAGCAAGGAUCUGUGGAGAGACGGAAACAGGAGCCAAUACAACCAGAGUAGUGGGAACAUAGUAAGAAUAUCUUGCAUUCUAAGAAAUAAUGUUUCUAUUAGCAAAAAUGUGAUACAUGAGAUAUUCUUGCAGUGGUUAUAUGUCUCCUGAGUAUGCAACGGAUGGCAUAUUUUCGGUGAAAUUUGAUGUUUAUAGCUUUGGGGUACUCCUUUUAGAGGCGGUGAAUGGAAAAAGAAACAAAAAUUUUACUCAUCUAGAUCACAAUCUUAACCUUCUCGGACAUGCAUGGAGAACCUAUAUAGAUGGAAAUGCGUUGGACCUAGUAGAUGAGGUUUUUGAAAAUUUAAGCCCUGAACAUCAAUACGAAGUGUUUCGAGCUAUUCAAAUAGGGUUAUUAUGUGUGCAACAAUGUCCGGCGGAUAGGCCAACCAUGGCAACGGUGGUGCUAAUGCUAACCAGUGAGCUUCCCCUGCCUCAACCUAAGCAACCUGGAUUUUUCAUCGAGAGGAAUGUGCACGAAGGAGAUUCUUCGUCGUGUUCAUCCAACUACUGCAGUGUGACAGCUAUAGCUCCUAGAUAAACAUAUUAUUUCUCGUUUUUAUUCUAUUAAAAAAUAUAAAUUAUGAUUGCCGCUUUUAA